AGAGUUUGAUCAUGGCUCAGAAUCAACGCUGGCGGCGCGCUUAACACAUGCAAGUCGCACGAGAAAGGGAGCAAUCCUGAGUAAAGUGGCGUACGGGUGAGUAACACGUGGAUCAUCUACCUUUUAGUGGGGAAUACCUCCGGGAAACUGGAGACAAUACCGCAUAAGCUCGUGAGAGGAAAGCAGCAAUGCGCUGAAAGAGGAGUCCGCGGCUGAUUAGCUAGAUGGCGGGGUAACGGCCCACCAUGGCGAAGAUCGGUAGCCGGCCUGAGAGGGCACACGGCCACACUGGCACUGAAACACGGGCCAGACUCCUACGGGAGGCAGCAGUGGGGAAUCUUGCACAAUGGGGGAAACCCUGAUGCAGCGACGCCGCGUGAGCGAUGAAGCCCUUCGGGGUGUAAAGCUCUUUCGACGGGAACGAUAAUGACGGUACCCGAAGAAGAAGCUGCGGCUAACUACGUGCCAGCAGCCGCGGUAAUACGUAGGCAGCAAGCGUUGUUCGGAAUUACUGGGCGUAAAGAGUGUGUAGGCGGUGUUCUAAGUGUGGUGUGAAAUCUCCCGGCUCAACUGGGAGGGUGCGCCGCAGACUGGAAUGCUAGAGUAUGGGAGAGGUAAGCGGAAUUCCUGGUGUAGCGGUGAAAUGCGUAGAUAUCAGGAGGAACACCUGGUGUAGACAGCUUACUGGACCAUGACUGACGCUGAGACACGAAAGCGUGGGUAGCAAACAGGAUUAGAUACCCCGGUAGUCC
rnacentral:rRNA from 1 species